AUGAUCCUCCUGCCUCAGCCUCCGGAGUGCUGGGAUUACAGGUAUGUGCUACCACACCCGCUCUGAUGUUAACUCAAAAGUCAACCUCAAAAACCCUGGAGUGGAGGGUGGCCUGCAGAAUGGGGAGUUUCCGCCGGUCAGAAUGAGGAGUUUCUGCCGGUCAGAAUGGGAAGUGGAGACAGUGGUGAGGGCGAGGGCCCUGGAGCCCCGCUGAAGCUAUCUGAGUAGGUCCUUGGUUUCUGAGUCUUACCUUCUGAGUUUAUACAAAUACAGAGAGUUGCCUGGCUUGGAGAACUAGAUCAGACUGUGGGCAGCCGGAGCAGCCGGUUCAGUCUCUGCUCCUCAGGAGACCUCCACCCCUCUCCUCUACUUCCCAGUGGCUCUCCCUGGGGCUUUGGCACUGCUUCCUGAUUUUGUUUCCUGGGACUUCAGCAUGGAUCAGGCACAGGCGCAGCCCACCCAGACAGUACCCUCAACAGGUGGCACUUUGUAGCAUGGCAGAAGGACGGGGACAGGUAGACUCAGGGGCCCCGGGGAACUGCAACCUGCAGACAACUUCCCAUGUCAGUGUGGGCACUAUCAAGCGCCAUCUGAGCUCACCCUGGGAUACUGAGUCUUAGAUUCAAGAUCAACAAACACAAUUAGUUUAGAACAGCUCGGUUUGCUUUUAGCUGUUCUUGUUUUCACUUACUGAAUCCAAACUCUACUUUCUUGCCACCCCAAAUUUCUUUUGGUUCUCGCCUGUGCUAUCCCUUGGCCCGUACUGUUUUUAUUGAGCAUUUCUUCUCUGUACUCAGCCAACUCCUUCCUAGGAGCCAGCCCCAUAGUCAGACAGCCCCUCCUGUGGGAAGCCCCAGGGAUGCCGGCCUGGUGUCCCCGUGUGAGCACACACACACACAGCUGUGCCCGGCUCUACUGCAACUGCGGGUUACACUGGCUUGCGGAGCUGAGUCCACUCUCCUCCUCCCCGCUUGGCCCGAAUGAGCUCCAUGCAAAGGAGGACCGUGUCACCUAUCUCUGUCUCAUUGUCUCCGGGGCCAAGCGUAAUGGCUGGCACUCAGUAGGGACUCUGAAUGGAAGAGAACUAAGUUUUCCUACUCUAGGGCAGAAAGGAGAAAGCCAUAGAAAGAGAAGACAUAUCAGGGAUGGGAGAACAUCAGAGACAAGCUAGCAGCACUUAGGCAGACGAAAGAAAUCACUCCACUGCAACAAGGAGUGGGGGACGGACUGGUAAGUGUUUCAAGAAGGCAAAUGGCCAGAGAGGAAGAAACUGCGGCAGCCAGAUGGAGUGGGUGGCUGAGCUUCUGGUAACUUUAGAGCUCUUCUAGCGCCUCCUAUCAACAGCCUGCACCCCUGGGCCGCCUUGUACCGGGAGCAGCUACUCGGGAAGAUGCAAGGGCAUUCUGGGCUUGGCAGUUCAUCCAGCUGCUCCUUCCCCGCUCGAUGGAAUUGGCUAAACCGAGGCUGCUAGAGGACUUCGCGUAUUUUCCAGGUGCCCCAUUUUAUUACCAGAUAAAUGAAUUAGGGAGUAACAUAGCCAGCUGAAGUUGUCAGAGUUCAUUAACAGAUAUGAUGACUUUCAGAGCUCCCUUUAGGACCUUAUAAAUCAUUCUGGAGGUUCUUACCUUUAUCUCAUUAUUUGAAAAGGUAACUUGAGAGGCCGCUUCCCUGCUCUUAAAGUGACCUCUAGAGAAGUCCACCUGGACCGAUAGAUCAUGCCAGAUUCCAAACUGCACUUACAGUCUGCCAGCAAAGCAGCACCCCGUGGCCCUUUCUCUAUUCAUCCCCAAGCCGGCUGCCUGAGGGGGCCUUGGGAAGCCACACACCAAGGGCUUCAGAGGCCUGUCCCAUUGUGUGGAUGACACAGCCAUUAGUAACCAUGGCAACUUCCCUUCCUGGCUGUGGCACUUCACAGGUCUAAAUGUGCACAGGACUCUUCCAGAUUUGGGGAGCCAAGCAGAGCGGCGCCUGGCUUGAGCCACAAACCAAGGCAAAUAUGAGGAAGCACUUUCAGCAGUGAACACAAAGCAUGUGGAGGAUGUGUUGUUGUUCUAACAGUUGUGACGGGACUCCACAAGGACGGCCCCAAAGGCCAGGGGAGGGAGUCAGGAGCGGUGAGAUCCAAUCAGACUGCUCACGGUCCCUGCGUGCACAGAGCCCUCCCACCCCUCUCCAACAGCGCCUAUGCCCUUGGUUCCUGGCCCUGUGCUUCUCCCUCCUUUGCUCCUGCCGCCACUUCCCGGCCAGUACUGCUUUUGGCCCAGGCCAGUGCAGUCCAGCCGGAGCUCCUCUGGGACAAGCCUGUCCUGACCACUGCCCCUCCACACGAGGACGCCUUUCCUGGCCACGCUCCAGCUCUUCCUCUGCCUUGCUUUCUCCAAAGCAUGCUUAUAGCUGACAUUCCACUAUCUGUUUUGUGGCUAAAGGAGGAGGGGGCAUCUCUUCACUCCUUUAUUUCUUGUCUCUCCCCCCAGAAUUGUGCUGCCCCCUGUGGCAGCCACCAGCCAUGCAUGGUUCUUUGAAUUUAAAUGAACUGAAAUGAAGUCAAAUUAAAUAUGCAGGUCCUCGGUCAUACUAGCCAUGCUCAACAGCAUGGCUGUUCUGAUGCUCAACAGCCAAACGCAGGCUGUUAUACUAAACAGGGUGAGACCUCUCCAUCCUUGUUGGAAGUUCUAGUAAACAAUGCUGAGCUAGAAUAUGGACUCUGUCAGGGAAGAAAGCUUCCAGUGCAGCUUCCCCAGAGCCUAGAACAGAGCCUUGCCCACAGUCUGCUCAGACUGCUUCCCAUAAGCAUUGUCUGCAUAUGAAGCUACCUACAGGUGGGGACUGCAGCUCACAGAGCAUGCUGAGGUAUGGUGAAACACCUUUUGAAUGUUCAGGGGUGCAUGUGCAUGUGUGUGAGUGUGCUGGGGUUAUACGUGCAGAGGAAUGCUGUAAAAGGAAGAUCCUAAGGUUCUGUGUGAGGGACUACUGACAGAGAACGUGGUUAAAUGUGCACAUACUGGCCAAGAGGUCUGGGGUGUCUGAGUUAGAAUUUGAGAGAGAGAGAGAGAGAGAGGGCAAAAAGACUCCAUUCCUGCAGGAAUGGGUGCUGGGGAGAGACCUUUCUUAUAGAAAAUUCCCAAAUCCAGAAUAUUCUAACCUGUUAAAAGUGGGCCAAAGAGAUAAGGUCAAAUUGUGUGGAGCCUCUCUAGGUUCCAAUAACUGUGGUUCAAACCCACGAGUCUCUUCCAAAAUUUACUCAGCAGCCUGGCAUCCAAACUGGGGUGGAUUAAGAGGAAGCAAAGAGAAGAGAAAGAAGCAAACAAGAGAGGGCUCUUGGAGCCUCUGAAGGAUCCAUCUCUGAGAGCCCGCGGGAGGACCUUCAAGAAGUCUUCCUGCUGGAGCACAGUCCUGCCACGACAAGGGGUGAAGUGUCCGUGGUGCAGAACACGCUGGCCUCUGGCUGCUGUCCUCUUGCUGUGAGCCACCAGCAAGGUCAGGCCUGCUACCAGCGUGAUGCUUCAUGUGCUUUGAGCAGUCUUCUGGUUCCGAUGUGCACUGGUCAAAGUUGGCAACAAUAAAAAGUGAACAAAUGAAAUAUAUUGUAGGACUAAGUUCCAACGUCCUUUCCAGUUGGGUAGCAAAUGGCCUGAUGGGUUGGCUACAAGUUGUGGGUCUUGUACCCAGCCAGCUUCCCACAGGUCUGACCUGUACAGGCACAGUAAUGCCAACUUGAAGAAGCCUCACUCACUCCAAGGGAUCAGCAGGGUGUGAUGUCCCUGUCCUCAGGGGGUUGCCCGAGCCAGCCAGAACAAAGCACACUGGAGUUCCAAGUCCUGCUGCCUAGGGGAGGUGGGGUAAGAGUUUCCUUCGUGAGGACCCUUCCCCAUCUGCCCCUUUCUGGUGGGGGUCUCAGCAGCCUUCAGGAUAACCAGGAGUGUGGCAGGGAUGCGUUACACAGAAAGGAGCCGAACCACCUACGAUACUCUUUCCUUCUCUGUAUGUUGCCGACACUGACUCAGUUUCUGUUUUACCCACUAUGACAGUUCCCGUGUGCCUGAAAGAAACCCUACCAUGAAUAAGAAAGGACAAAAUCUUGGAGUGCAGAAUAUAAAGGGAAAAUGACAUGGGCAGAUGUAGUUCUGGCACUGAGGACCCGGAUGUGGACAGACAGACAGAAGUCACUGCUCUUGGAGAGCUUAUUAUGGAAAAGAGCCAAGCAGGGAAGACGGGAGAGGGCUGGAGUGGGGGAUGACGGGGACUCCAAGCACAGCAGUCAGGGCCUGCUCUCCGUGAUGGGGGACAGAGGAGCAUCUGGAUGUUGUGGUGCUAACAGUUUAUAAAGCACAGGGUAGUCAGUAUUCAUUUUGCAGGGCAGGGUGGAUACAAGUGUCACAGGGGAGGCAAUGUUCCUCUUCUUGGAAACCCAAUUGUGACAACUGCUGCUGAUGACAAUUCUCCAUAAUCUCUUGAGGAGUCUAUUUCAACUCUGAAAAGCAAGUGUGAUUAGCCUCAAUCUGCCAACAAAAGGACCCAGACCAAGCAAGAUACAAAGUCAGCACUCAAAAAUCAAUAUCCUUCCUGUACACAAAUAACAAACUCACUGAG